rnacentral:rRNA from 1 species
AUUGAACGCUGGCGGCAUGCUUUACACAUGCAAGUCGAACGGCAGCGCGGGCUUCGGCCUGGCGGCGAGUGGCGCACGGGUGAGUAAUGCAUCGGAACGUGCCCAGUAGUGGGGGAUAGCCCGUCGAAAGCCGGAUUAAUACCGCAUACGACCUGAGGGUGAAAGCGGGGGACCGAAAGGCCUCGCGCUAUUGGAGCGGCCGAUGCCGGAUUAGCUAGUUGGUGGGGUAAAGGCUUACCAAGGCGACGAUCCGUAGCUGGUCUGAGAGGACGACCAGCCACACUGGGACUGAGACACGGCCCAGACUCCUACGGGAGGCAGCAGUGGGGAAUUUUGGACAAUGGGGGCAACCCUGAUCCAGCUAUGCCGCGUGCGGGAAGAAGGCCUUCGGGUUGUAAACCGCUUUUGUUCGGGAAGAAAUCCUCUGGGCUAAUACCCCGGGGGGAUGACGGUACCGGAAGAAUAAGCACCGGCUAACUACGUG